CUUAAAGGAUUGGACGGACUGCCACAGAGUUUACCUCACUCAAUUGGUGCUUAUGAAAGAGGAAGAGUACAUCUACAAAGACCAAGGACAUCAUAAAGGAACAACAACACAUUUGACUGGUUUCGGCAGGUUUAACAGAAGUCUCAGUCACAGGAUCUGCAGCUCUGGCCUCGGCACCUUUGCUUUCUGCACUUGCAGCAGCUGUGGGAGACUUGGCUGCUUUGGACAUGGCCAACUGUGUACCUCGGACACCCAGCCAGGUCGGCAGCACUGCUGAGACAACAAAUGUAUUUUAAACCAAGUGCAGUUUUGGACCAAGCAUGAGCUCACAGUCAUCACGACCCACAAAAAUCAUCUCGCGGGGCAGCCGGUGACGUGUACCCCCACUGCUCACCAGGAACCAGGAUGUGAGACUCAUCUCUGCUUUAUCUCUCUCAUCCAGCUUUCAAACCUUUACGUCAUCCUGAUAAAUAGAGAGAAAAGGACCUCAAGUAGUCUACAGACCUCCACCCCAAUGAACACAUUCUGAAAUAAUCGGAUAGUCAGGAUUUUCUUUUGACUGAAUGA